rnacentral:rRNA from 1 species
CCUACGGGAGGCAGCAGUUAGGGAUCUUGUGCAAUGGGGGAAACCCUGACACAGCAACGCCGCGUGAGGGAUGAAGGCCUUCGGGUCGUAAACCUCUUUUCUGAGGGAAGAAACCUGACGGUACCUCAGGAAUAAGCAACGGCUAACUACGUGCCAGCAGCCGCGGUAAU